rnacentral:sRNA from 2 species
ACACGCUUCUGUUAGGUGAGGCUCCUAUAUGGAAAAUGCUGCUGCCCUGCACAUAUCGAGAGACAUGUGUAGCAAAAUGUUUAACAUCUUAUAAUAAGAUGGAAUGGGUCAACAGAAAUGGUCGAAUUAAGGUCAUUUUUAAUGUAGCUGAUGAAUAAUCUACGCCAUAUAGUGCUAAAGCUCAAUGAUGGAGAAUACUA